AACAGUUCUGCUUCUGCGAGCCAGGUGGAGAAGAGAGGGUUGGAAGUGAACACUACCAGAUAAGUAGUGUUGGAAGUGAGCAUUUCUAGGUGCAGACAAGGCAUUUGUGGCAUAGAAGAUUACGCUCUUCUUCUUGCCAUGUCUUAAGAUUAUACUUUAUAAUGAUUUAUCUUAGUCCAGGUGCAGUGCCUUACAUCUGCAAUCCCAGCACUUUGGAAGGCUAAGCUGGGAAAAUUGCUUGAGGCUGGCAGUUUGAGACCUCUUCCACUUUUAAGGGACCUUGUGAUUAUAGCUGGUCCACCUGGAUAUUCCAAGAUACUCUCCCUAUUUUAAAGAGAAAAAUAUGAAAUCUGAGGUACAGUUGAUUUGAAUCCAAGAAAUCUAAAGGAAAAAGUUCAAGCUCUUAAUUCUUUCAUACCUUCCUUGUUGUUAAAACUUUUUUUAAAAAGUUAAUCUUGUCUAUGAAGCAUGAAUCUAUAAUACUAGGGAAAAAACUGACUAACUUGAAGAAAAAAUAAAUUGAAAUGGAAAGCAAUUAAUUCCUCUUAAUAUGAAUAAAGGACGAUCUAAAUGC